GAACAACACGUUGUGAUGAUUGC
rnacentral:siRNA from 1 species